CGUGCAAUUGCAGGCGUUAAAUAAACGCCUGUAUAUUUACACGUGCAAUUGCAGGCGUUAAAUAAACGCCUGUAUAUUUACACGUGCAAUUGCAGGCGUUAAAUAAACGCCACAUGCAAAUCACUGCCCACAAUUUCCCUAGCUCCUCCUGCAGUUAUCUGGGCUAGUGUGAUUUGAUUCUUCCCUGUAUUUUCAAGUACCAGCUCCUCCCCACUGUAGAAGCGGACGAUUUCAAAACAAGUUUAGCCCAGCACACAGAAGUUUGAAGGAUGAGAAGAUGGCAAGAAGGAACUUCCUAAGACAGUGUAAGCAGACACUAAAUGACUGCACUCAGCUUUUGCUGUCGGAUAACCCUGGACACGACGACCUUCAGUCCAUGUUGACAAAGGCUGGAAACAAUGCAGCGAAGCCUAGAGUGGGCAAAGGGGUACGCUCUUAAAUGUUGCUUCAGCAGACGGCCUGAUAGCUGAAGUGUCCGAGCUCAUGCAGGAGAGUCGCACCCAUGGUCGGCAUGCACAACCAGCCAGUUCCGAUUACCAGGCUCCAUUGACUUGGAGUGGAGCUAGAGGUGCUCCUCAUUAUCCCAUCACCGGAGAGCAACUGAGGGGUCUGAUGAUAGAUGGCAGAUAUUCUUCACGUGUUCCAUUCUACACUCAAACCACAUCUAAGGCACUUUGCAUUAACCUGAAGGCAGCUGCCUUCCCAUCAAUGUUGCAGAGGCUGCACAGAAGGUACAGUGUUGCUGCUCUGAAUUCUUUAUAACACAUCGAUGGAAACUACAGACUGAAGGUGGAGGAUAGACAUUGUGUAUCUGCCUUGAAUCAACAGAGACAUGGCAGACUUCUGCAACCAGUGGAACCACCAUGGUUUAACCCUUGUGUUAUCUUCGGGUCAUUCUGACCCUCAGUCGUUGUGACCCACCGUCGUAUUGCGACAACUUUACCGCAUACAAAAACAAAGUAAAGCAAUUUUGUAUUUUUGUAAGCAUGCGUCAGACCCCCCACAUUGCGAAGGUUAAAAGAAAAUUAUUUUUAUUUGUUUUUGUAUUGGGUAAAAUUGGGUAAACACAACGAUGGUUCGUUAUGAACCUUUGGGUCAUGUGACCCGAAGGCAGCACAAGGGUUAAGGACUGAGAGGCACCAGUCCCCUCUGCAGAUUUUCAUUAGGACUUGCCUUGCACAACAAAUGCUACCUAACACUUCACGGUUCAGGACGGGGCCGUUCAGGACGGGGUGGCUCAGGAUUUUUGCAAAAGAUCAUUCAAAAAAACAUCACAUUUAAAAGCAAACCUUAAUACAGUGAACACCAUACUGUCAUUGAAAGUAGUUACUGAUUGAAUACAUCUAGUAGAGAUGCUAGAUACUGAGAACUUAUGUCCUGCUGAGUUGUGAGUGAUGAGGUUAAAAUGAUGUGAUAAUCACAGUUCGUUUAAUCCUCACAUGUAUAAAAACUCACUGCUCAAAAGCAUCCCUGAGCCUGCUUUUCAAGUAGACUUUUGUGGUCCACCAAGGCAUCCCUCUCCUCCAAGGUCCACUUAUCGGACUGAACCCAACACGGAGAGUUCCUCAGAGGCCUCCAGCACCGCUUCCUGGGCCUCGUCCACAGUUUGUGCUAAUUGUAUGUAAUUGAAAUGAAUGAAUGAGCAACGGUACACUGUAAAUCAAUAACCUUGGAAAGAUGUAUCAAUAAUGAAACUUGGCUUCUCUUUUUAUGCCGGAACUCUCCCCUGCUGGCAGCAAUAAAAGAGCAGUGGAGAGUAGUGUAACAGACGUGGUCUUGCAAGCUCCGUCAGAGGUAUCGGGCAAAUCGUCCCGCACUGGGUUCGAACUUACCACCUCUGGCUUCCCAAGCGCCACCACUACCAACUACGCCAACGAAAAGCUAGCUAUUCGUUGAUGCGGGUGGCCUGUUACAUACCUGAGGAGUGAGUUUCACCGAUACACAUCGGCUACAUUCACCCCUCAAACUCACUCCGGCCGGUUAGCUGAUGCUAACCUAGCGAUCCGGGUCACGGCACCAGUGUAACAGACGUGGUCUUGCAAGCUCCGUCAGAGGUAUCGGGCAAAUCGUCCCGCACUGGGUUCGAACUUACCACCUCUGGCUUCCCAAGCGCCACCACUACCAACUACGCCAACGAAAAGCUAGUUAUUCGUUGAUGCGGGUGGCCUGUUACAUACCUGAGGAGUGAGUUUCACCGAUACACAUCGGCUACAUUCACCCCUCAAACUCACUCCGGCCGGUUAGCUGAUGCUAACCUAGCGAUCCGGGUCACGGCACCAGUGUAACAGACGUGGUCUUGCAAGCUCCGUCAGAGGUAUCGGGCAAAUCGUCCCGCACUGGGUUCGAACUUACCACCUCUGGCUUCCCAAGCGCCACCACUACCAACUACGCCAACGAAAAGCUAGUUAUUCGUUGAUGCGGGUGGCCUGU